AGAGUUUGAUCCUGGCUCAGAUUGAACGCUGGCGGCAGGCUUAACACAUGCAAGUCGAGCGGAGAUGAGGUGCUUGCACCUUAUCUUAGCGGCGGACGGGUGAGUAAUGCUUAGGAAUCUGCCUAUUAGUGGGGGACAACAUUCCGAAAGGAAUGCUAAUACCGCAUACGUCCUACGGGAGAAAGCAGGGGAUCUUCGGACCUUGCGCUAAUAGAUGAGCCUAAGUCGGAUUAGCUAGUUGGUGGGGUAAAGGCCUACCAAGGCGACGAUCUGUAGCGGGUCUGAGAGGAUGAUCCGCCACACUGGGACUGAGACACGGCCCAGACUCCUACGGGAGGCAGCAGUGGGGAAUAUUGGACAAUGGGGGGAACCCUGAUCCAGCCAUGCCGCGUGUGUGAAGAAGGCCUUAUGGUUGUAAAGCACUUUAAGCGAGGAGGAGGCUA
rnacentral:rRNA from 1 species